rnacentral:misc_RNA from 1 species
AAAGAUAUAGCAUAUUCUUCUGAAUAUACUCUAUUAACCCAUUCCGAGUACCUUACCGUUGCUUCCGCGAGGCUGUCCUCACGGCCCUCUGAAGAUUUAUCUUUGGGGAGUCCUUGCGGAAGGUAUACAAUAAACUCUUGCAUUACCAUGUCAUCUGUCUGAAUCUGUUUAAAACAAAUAUUA